UCCUAGUCCCACCCCCGCUACCCCGUGUCCUGGGGACCGGGUCAAGAUGUGCGUAGGUGCUGGGAGGUAGACACCCCUCCUUCCUAGCCCCAGGCGUCACCCACGCCCAGGCCAGCACUGGAUCUUCCACUUACCUAACCUCCCCUCUCCCAAGUCCCAAGGCCACCCCCUGUGCCCCUCCUGAGAGCGGGUGACAAGCUGCUGAGACAGUGUCUGAUUCACCGACAGCUGAACCAGCUAUGCGUACUCGGAGGUUUGCACUAUAAGAAAUGCUAAAGAAAACUCUUCAAGAUGAAAGAAAAUGAAACCUGAUGGAGACUCAGAUCUUUGGGAAGGAAUGAAGAGCAUCAUAUAUGUUGUAGGUCCAUCUGGUUGUGCUAUGUGGGACGUCACCUCAGCAUGGCCUGAUGAGUGGAGUCAUGUCCUUGCCCAGGAUCCAAACCAGCGAAACCCUGGGCCGCCGAAGCAGAGCUUGCGAACUUAACCACUCGGCCACAGGGCCAGCCUUCUGGGUAGGCAUAAUUUUAAGAAUUCAGCUACUUUGUCAACCAGUGUCCCAUCAGGAAAGUAGAAACCAUGCUAAUUGUUUCAAUCAGGGGACUUACUUAAGGAAUGAUUACUAUUGUUGGAAGGGCUGAAGGAGCAAAAAGGAGAAGGUGAGAUAACCCUGGGUUAGUGUCUGCAGGCAGCCUACACCAACUCUAGGAUUGUAGGAGCAAACAGGAGGAGGUGGCGUGCCAGAGCCCUGGUCAUGCUCACUGCUGACAGUGAUAAUGACUACACUUGCUGUUGAAACCGCUGAUGCCGCUCCUAGAGUCACAGCAGGAUGCUGGAACCACAGUCACCCAGCACUGCAGCCCCUGGAACCACCAAAGGAUAUUCCACUGCUGCAGGAGACAUUGCCAGAAGCAGACAGGGAUACAAACGCCUUCUUCCUUCCUACCUUCCACUUGCCCUUCCCUCCCACCAGUGCCUCUCAUUGACUGAACUUAGUCAGAAACGAGAUGGCAAAGAAGUCUGGAAAAGUAGUUUGCAGUGUCCAGCUCCCUCUGAUACAGAACAGCAGGGCCAGCUUCAUGGACAUUCGACCUGUGCAGUCACACAGGACCCCAUCCUUAAAGAAGCCCCAUAUUGUCACUCUCUUGAAAUUCUGAAUACUUGAUUAAAGGGUCUUAUGUUUUUAUUUUGCACGGGCCCUGCAAAUUAUCUAGUUGGUCCUGGAGGGUGGAGCAUGGAAGGGCAAAAAUGGAGCUGAGAACACAGAGGAAAAUGCCAGGGCUGCUGUGUGUUGGCAAAUUGUUCUCCACAAAGUUUACACCAACUUGAUCUAUGUACUUGCAAUGUAUGGAGUGGCCUGGGAAACCACGAAUUAGUUAUGGUGCCAAUAGGAGAGCAUCACCUUGUGGUCAGUGAGUUCAAACUCCCGGGCUCUGCUACCGAUGGAGACAGUCUGUUGUCGACCUUGAGCGACUUUCACAUUCUCUCUGGAUGCCUGUUUCCUUGCUGAAGUCCUCCAGCUUAAGUGUGGAAGCCGGAAAGAGCCUCGAACAGAGCAAGGCUCAGUUUCAACCUGCUGUGUGAUUUGGCAAGCAACUGUUCAAGGUACCACUCAGGAAGAUGAGCAAAUCGAGGAAGUCCCUCUGGCCUAAAAAUUCUAUCAACUUGCCCAGGAAAUGAAGGCCUGAGAAUUGCACCAGGUGCUCGCUGGCCUCCUAGAUGCAUCUCAGACUCUGCAUGGGCCAGAAAUGAGCAUUCAAGGGACAGGGACAACAAAAGCUGUUUCCCUAUAAGGAAAAGAAAAGGUUCCCAGUGCCUGUGACUUCUCUCCCAGUUGUUCAGGCUGUCACAACAUUACAAAUAGUGUUCCCCAAUUUGCCAUAUGGCCUGAGAUUUCAUAAUGAGGGCUUUGGGUCUUUGGCCUUCAUAUACAUCACCAACAUGAGAAGCUGCCAAUGCUUGCAGUGGAUUCCUUUCUUUAUACGAAAACGUACCAAAAACUCGCUAGUGAAGCAGGAAGAGCACAACUUUGUGGGAGCGGAGCUGGGAAUCUGAAGUGUGAGCGCUGGAUUUGAGUCUCCUAAGCAUGGGUAGCUGAUGACCACAGGAAGGAUCCGUGAGAAAGGCCAGAGAGUGGAAACUGAAACUGACUGACAACAGACUGGAAAGAGAGAGUCUGAACAAUGACUCACCUGAAUGCAACCUGUUUGGUGUCUGUCUGAGAAUUCAAGAAAUAGAUAGUUUUCUCCUGCAUGUCCUUUAAGGAGCCGGGAUUAAGGGACUGUGGUUUCUGCAAGUCCGCUGUCCGUCUAGGGGUUGGCAUCUUCCAGGAGAGGCUAGAGCUUGUGAGUCUCAGCUCAGCCUGAGGACCCAUGGAGAAGAACGUAAUUCCAGCUCCAAAGGCCUCUCUUGCACAGAAGAAUUUUUAGCGUUGAGAGGAAGUCUAGGAGGGCAAGAUGGCAGCCGACAACUCCAGACACUUUCUACCCUGCUCAAGACCAAUGGGAAAGAGCUCUGUUCACCAGAUCACUCAGGGACUCAGGCUGAUGACACAACCCCUAACUCCAACAUUGUCAGACUCUACCGGACGACAGGAGCUUGCAGAAGAUCUUGCGUCAGGACUGAAAUGGUGCAGCCAGCAGUGACUUAUACUUGCAUUUCAUUGGCUAGAACUAGUCACGUGACCCCACCCAACUGGAAAUGGGCCAGGAAGUACCAUCUUAGCAUGUGCGCGGAGCCGGUACUCUGAAAUAUUUGGGAACAGUACUGAUGACUGGGGUGAUCAGAUGAUUUGGAAACUGUGAUGACCACAUGCAUGAGUCCCUCAGAAGAUUCAGCAUGGUCUAGUUCUCUGGCAAGGGAGAUCAGACCCCACUCUGAAGACCACUGUCCCACCGGCCUCACAUACUGGAAGUGUACACUCUAUGACUUCUUGCUUCUGAAUCUUGG
rnacentral:lncRNA from 1 species